rnacentral:ncRNA from 1 species
UCUUCGCUCAGCUUACUUCACAAGUGCAACUCUUAAGUCUUGGAAUACUUAUUAAUGAGGAGGUGCUUUACUAUGGCAGGAGAUAUCAUUAACACAAUUAUCGCAUUCAUUAAGUUAAUUGCUGAAACUGUACAAAAAUUCACUAAGAAGUAAUCAUUCUCCCAAAUGCUAAAAAUCUUUUUCCAUUAGUAAUUGAAGCUUAAAAGUCAGGUUUCUAUAUUGAAACUAUUGUAAACAUUUAAUAAUCGGUAAAUUCACUAAAUUUUUUCAUAAUUAAUAACAUCCCCAAUUAAUUAAAUAGAAUAACUGUAAACAAAUAAACAUUCCCUUAAUAUUAAAUUUUAAAGGCGAGCCCCUCCCAAGCUCGCCUUUUU